ACAAGGUUUCCGUAGGUGAACCUGCGGAAGGAUCAUUGUCGAGACCCAUAAAGGAUUGGAUGACCCUUGAUAACCCGUGGACAUGUGGCAGCGUCAGCUGCCUAUAAAUGCCAUUCGCCCGGUGCCCCCUUCUCGAUCGGAGCAUCAAAAUGGGUGGAUGCAACCUAUCAAUUGGGCGCCGCGCCGCGCCAAGGAAGCGUUGUCACGAGCAUUGACGACUAUCCGUAGGAGCUCGAAGGGCUUAACGGUGCGUUGUUGUUGCUUUUGAAAUACUGUAUGACUCCCGGCAAUGGAUAUCUUGGCUCUUGCAUCGAUGAAGAGCGCAGCGAAAUGCGAUACGUGGUGUGAAUUGCAGAAUCCCGUGAACCAUCGAGUUUUUGAACGCAAGUUGCGCCCGAGGCCAAUUGGCUGAGGGCACGUCCGCCUGGGCGUCAAGCAUUACAUCGCUUCAUCCCGCGCCACCUCGCAGGUGGGGUGAUUGUGCCGGGUUGAAUGUGGAGAUUGGCCCUUCGUGCAAACAUUUGUGCGGCGGGUUGAAGCGCGGAUGGCUCUCCUCUCGGCCGAUGCGUGACAAAGGGGUGGUUGGAUGCUGCCGGUUGGCCCACAUUGUCAUGUCAUUUGCCUUGAGGAUGGCGUGCACACACAUCGAUAAUAGGUCACCCGACGGAUUCGUUGUAGGUGGCACAUCGAAAUGCGACCCCAGGAUGGGCGGGAUGACCCGCUGAGUUUAAGC
rnacentral:rRNA from 1 species